rnacentral:lncRNA from 1 species
CUCUGGUGUGUUGGUUUUAAAAGUGGUCCAUAGGUCAUCGAUAGUCAUAUUUGCCUUGUUUGCUUUUAAAUAAUCAUAUGUAAGGAUGUUCCCCCAGUUUGCUUUUUUUUGGAUAUUAGUGCUUUAUGUGGUUGUUGUUUUGGUGUUGGUAUAGCAAAGUUGAUUUCACAAAAGACAAUAUCAUGGUCUCUUCCUCCUAUUGGUGGGAGGGUCUCAACUC